rnacentral:lncRNA from 1 species
UAAAGGUGAUUCCAUAAGUAUAUCCAUGCUUUCCAAAUAAUAGUAAUUGAGUGAGGGCUUUGUUCCAUUUAUGAUAUAGAAUAAGCUCUCCAGCAAACAGACAGCUAAAUCUUGGCUUCAUAAGUUUGCUUUCGAGAAAAUUGGCCUCAUAACUAAAUUUAAUCGGCUCUUCAUGAACCAGUCAAGAGGAGAUCAUUCUGCAUUCCAUCUCCCAUCUUCUGUUAACCAGCCAUAUCUUCACAUCUUCUUCAAACCUGAACGUAUCUGUAGCUGCCAUAGCCUGCAGUUAAGAACUAAGAAAUG